GCGGGGAUGGCAGAGCGGUCAAAUGCGAUAGGUUCAGGGCCUAUUUCCUUAGUGGAUACGCAGGUUCGAAUCCUGCUCCCCGCA
rnacentral:tRNA from 2 species